rnacentral:rRNA from 1 species
AUUGAACGCUGGCGGCAUGCUUUACACAUGCAAGUCGAACGGUAACAGGCCUUCGGGUGCUGACGAGUGGCGAACGGGUGAGUAAUGCAUCGGAACGUACCCAGAGGUGGGGGAUAACGCAGCGAAAGCUGUGCUAAUACUGCAUGUGAUCUGAGGAUGAAAGCGGGGGACCGAGCAGCAAUGUUUGGCCUCGCGCCUUUGGAGCGGCCGAUGUCGGAUUAGCUAGUUGGUGGGGUAAAGGCCUACCAAGGCGACGAUCCGUAGCUGGUCUGAGAGGACGACCAGCCACACUGGGACUGAGACACGGCCCAGACUCCUGCGGGAGGCAGCAGUGGGGAAUUUUGGACAAUGGGCGCGAGCCUGAUCCAGCAGUGCCGCGUGCGGGAAGGAGGCCUUCGGGUUGUAAACCGCUUUUGGCAGGAACGAAACGGUGUCCGCUAAUACCGGGCGCUAAUGACGGUACCUGCAGAAUAAGCACCGGCUAACUACGUG